UGAGUACGAGAUGCUACGGCAUCGAAGCAGUCUAUGUCAUACUUCCAAGAAAAGCUUGCACUGUCAUAAACAAAGAAUGCCUGUACCAUAACCGACACAGGUGGGUAGGUAGAGUAUACUAAGGGGCGCGAGAUAACUCUCUCUAAGGAACUCGGCAAAAUGACUCCGUAACUUCGGGAGAAGGAGUGCCUUAUUUCUAAGGUUGCAAUAACAAGAUCCAAGCAACUGUUUACCAAAAACACAGGUCUCCGCUAAGUCGUAAGACGAUGUAUGGGGGCUGACGCCUGCCCAGUGCCAGAAGGUUAAAGAAGUUGGUUAGCAUUAGCGAAGCUGAUAACUGAAGCCCUGGUGAACGGCGGCCGUAACGAUAACGGUCCUAAGGUAGCGAAAUUCCUUGUCGGGUAAGUUCCGACCCGCACGAAAGGCGUAAUGAUUUGGAUACUGUCUCGGAGAGGGGCUCGGUGAAAUAGACUUGUCUGUGAAGAUGCGGACUACCUGCACCUGGACAGAAAGACCCUAUGAAGCUUUACUGUAACUUGAGAUUGAAAUUGGACUUUAUUUGCGCAGUAUAGGUGGGAGGCGUUGAGAAUAAUCUUGCGGGAUUGUUGGAGCCAUCAGUGAGAUACCACUCUUGUAAUGUUAGAUUUCUAACUUUGUAUCAUUAUCUGGUCAAAGAACAGUUUCAGGCGGGCAGUUUGACUGGGGCGGUCGCCUCCCAAAGGGUAACGGAGGCGCACAAAGGUUUCCUCUGAACGGGUAGAAAUCGUAUCUAGAGUGUAAAGGCAUAAGGAAGCUUGACUGUGAGACCUACAAGUCGAGCAGGGACGAAAGUCGGUCUUAGUGAUCUGACGGUGCUGAGUGGAAAGGCCGUCACUCAACGGAUAAAAGUUACUCUAGGAUAACAGGCUGAUCUCCCCCAAGAGUUCACAUCGACGGGGAGGUUUGGCACCUCGAUGUCGGCUCAUCGCAUCCUGGGGCGGUAGUCCGUCCCAAGGGUUGGGCUGUUCGCCCAUGAAAGCGGUACGCGAGCUGGGUUCAGAACGUCGUGAGACAGUUCGGUCCAUAUCCGGUGUAGGCGUUAGAAUAUUGAGAGGAGCCUUCUCUAGUACGAGAGGACCGAGAAGGACAUACCUCUGGUGUACCAGUUAUCGUGCCAACGGUAAACGCUGGGUAGCUAUGUAUGGAGUGGAUAACCGCUGAAAGCAUCUAAGUGGGAAGCCCACCUCAAGAUAAGUAUUCUCACC
rnacentral:rRNA from 1 species